GCACUCAUUAUCAAAAUAACAGAGAAGGGAAUCAGUACAUAGCAUUUACCUCUACAACACACAUAGACAACUUAAUUUGUCUUAUCAAUACCAAUACAUAGAUAAUAAUAGAAAUAGCUUAACAUGCAUUUGCAAUCAAACUAACUGAAUCCACACAAUCACCUAUUUGUGUACUUGUUGACCCUGUUGGAUUUAUGUUGAUUUUAAUAUCCUCCUUUUGCUUGUCUUGCAGUGAAAGUAAAGGCUUUGGAGGC
rnacentral:misc_RNA from 1 species